CAUCUUUUUCUGAGAUAUUAAAAUAGCUUUGAAGGGGAUCCUCCAAAUUAGGGUACUUCUCUAGAGCCCCCAAGAAUCGCAGUAGAUAAAUCAGUGGAAUUUUCAUAUGAAGAACUUGCUAACAAAACCAACAACUUCAGUCUGUUUACUAUGCAGAGUUAAGAGGCGAGAAUGGCAAACAAACGAUCCAACAAGAAGCAUUAGGGGCAUUGGCUUCUUUAGCCCAAUCUGCUAAG